rnacentral:ribozyme from 10 species
UGCAGCAAGAAAAAGAAAAAGAAAAGGAAACAUCGGAAAAAGAAGAAGGGCAAGAACGAUUCCACAUCUUCAUCCUCCUCGUCCUCUUCUUCUUUGUCACUAUCAGAAGUUGCUCAAGAAUUCAGGGAGGCA